UUCAUUGGAAAGAUUAUAAACAUGACCUACGUGGAAUAAAGAACUCGAGUAAGUCUCGGUAUCCCAGCUCCCUGAAACCAUCGUUCUCUUGAGUGUGCACCACUUCCUUUUCCGAAAUACUUUCAAAAUCAAAGAUGGCCCUCUCCCUCUCUCUCUCACACACAUACACACACAAGCAGGCAUAUAUAUAUAUACACACGUACUCGCGGAUUCACAUGCCCAAGCGAGGGGAAGUAACUUGCUGUUCGCGAAAGGAAAAGGAGGCGAGUAAGUUUGUGCAGCAGAGAAGCAUCUGAAGUAUAAAGUAUGAAAACAUGGCGACGGAGCCUGGCAUCAAAGGAAAGUCCUGAUUGCGAAGCGUGAUGAGGAGGGUUCCGUCGGACUGCCUCGGUAACGCAAGAAAUCUCUCCCGGCAGCCUCCAGCUCCAAGGACGACAACCCUGCAGUCUUGCCCGGCCGCCCGCGCGAGUGCUCCGCUCUUGAAGUCAGAAUUACUGGCUCGCUUUUUGCAACAUUUCGGCUCUUCAAGACGGCUGAAUGGGCUGUUUAUAUGACGAAUAUGACAGAUAUACGGGUUUCUCCCGCGGUUACGUCUCUUUGAAGUGUGCCUGAGUCUCUCAUUAUUGCCCUUAAUUUGCAGAUCGCUUUCGCCGAGAAAGCGCGAGGGGAGAUGAGCGAGGGCAGGCUACUGCGCUGUACGAGGGACCAGACUGCUUUCGUCCACUCAAGCGUCCUUCAUAAAAGUCUUCUGGUCUCUGGGGAGGCGACAGGAGCUGGGCGGCUGGGCCUGGCUAGACGCAGGUCGCAGGAAGAGGGUGUAAAUUAAGACGGGCAUGAAUGAGGGAGGACUACCGCGGGUAGUCUCAUCCGGGCCACGAGGUGACGAAAGAGGAGGGCAUCGCCGUAAGGGCAGUUAGUCCCUAAGGGCCGUUCUUAACUGAACAAAGGGCUGAAACCCAAACCUCCGAGGUGCCUUCAGUGACUUUCUAUUGGCAAAAGUACUGGCAAUAUGUUGAGAGACAGUAUAUUGAGUAAAUGUCAAAGUUCCAGCCGUCAACCUCAAAAUGAUUGACUUCCUGCGACUUUCGCGAGCACGAAAUACUCGAUAUUGUCCUGAUUAAGACAGGUGUCAGGAAUACUAAAACGAUAAUAUAUGUGAAGGGUGAAUCCAGGAACAUUUACAGUUCCUAAUAAAGAGAGAAAAUGUGAUAUUACACUUUUACAUAUUAUAAAAGGGAAAGAAACCACAGUAUUGUUCUGAAAAUAAUUUUCUUUUUAAUUAAAACGUUUUCUUUAAUCAUUUUGGUU